rnacentral:rRNA from 1 species
CGCACGGGUGAGUAACGCGUAGAUAAUCUGCCUAUAGCAGGGGGAUAACCAUUGGAAACGGUGGCUAAUACUCCAUGAUGCAGCGGCCCCGCAUGGGGACAGUUGUUAAAGCUUUCGGGCGGCUAUAGAUGAGUCUGCGUGCCAUUAGUUAGUUGGUAGGGUAACGGCCUACCAAGGCGAUGAUGGCUAGGGGGUCUGAGAGGAUGAUCCCCCACACUGGCACUGAGACACGGGCCAGACUCCUACGGGAGGCAGCAGUGAGGAAUCUUGCGCAAUGGGGGGAACCCUGACGCAGCCACGCCGCGUGCCGGAAGACGGCCCUAUGGGUUGUAAACGGCUUUUGUUUGGGAAGAAAGUGCAGGUUUCGACCAGCAUUGACGGUACCAUUUGAAUCAGCACCGGCUAACUCCGUGCCAGCAGCCGCGGUAAUACGGAGGGUGCAAGCGUUGUCCGGAAUCAUUGGGUGUAAAGGGUGCGUAGGCUGGCUUUUAAGUCAGGGGUGAAAUCUUGCCGCUUAACGGUAAAAUGGCCUUUGAUACUGGAAGUCUUGAAUCUGACAGAGGUCGGUGGAAUUCGUAGUGUAGCGGUGAAAUGCAUAGAUAUUACGAAGAACAUCAGUGGCGAAGGCGGCCGGCUGGGUCAGUAUUGACGCUGAGGCACGAGAGCGUGGGGAGCGAACAGGAUUAGAUACCCUGGUAGUCCACGCUGUAAACGAUGUAUGCUAGUUGUUGGGCUUUUGGGCUCAGUGACGCAGUUAACGCAGUAAGCAUACCACCUGGGGAGUACGUUCGCAAGAAUGAAACUCAAAGGAAUUGACGGGGGCCCGCACAAGCGGUGGAGCAUGUGGCUUAAUUCGAUGCAACGCGAAGAACCUUACC